rnacentral:lncRNA from 1 species
CCUGGGGAUGUGCUCAGUGGCUAAUCUCUGGUACCAAAAUAUCUUUUGCUGGGAGUAGGGGGGUGGGCAGUACUGGGGAUUGAACCUAGAGGUAUACUUUAUCACUGAACUCUACUCCAGCCCUUUUAAUUUUUAUUUUGAGACAAGGUCUCCCUAAAUUGCCACGGCUCAUCUCAAACUUGUAAUCCUCCUGCCUCAGCCUCAAUUGCUGGGAUUACAGGUUAGCACCAACACACCUGUAAAGUUAUUUUAAAAAUCUUUAGUGCUUCAAAAAUCCUGGUGGCCCACAAAAUUUGCCAGGUUAACAGGUACAAUUCUAGUCACAUGAGUCUUUCUUGUGAUUUUUUAAGGCUCACACUGGCACAGUGAAAUCAAAGUCUUUGGAGGACCAGUUUAAUUUGUGUUAUUAAAUUUCCCUCCAUUGUAGAUUGAUAGUUUGGUAAACUAAUAAAAAUUGAUUACUAGAAAAAUGAAACUUAAAAAAGAUAUAAAACUCCCUUUAUUGGAUUAUCAUAGACAUAAAAUUUCUGUAAAAUAUAAAACUUUCUGAAUGCUUUGUUUCUGUGCUUAUUCUGUUGGGAACCAGUAGUGGCUCACGGACCAGGACCACCCUUUGAGGAGAAUGCACAGGUUCUUUUAAAUUCUAUAGACUCAGAAUCAUAUGUCCUCCUUUCCCCAUUUGUUUUAUUAGUCACUUUAAUAAAAGCCAUUACUUACCUAGAGGAUAGUAGAAACUGAAGCAAAUGAGGGUGGGGAAAAUGACAGCUUAGUUUCUGUUAGCAAUUCCUAUGACUUAUGUUUAUUUCCAUUUUCCAGUUUGACAUUCCAUCGUGAAUUACCUUGAUAUGGAAGGACAUACUGUGGAACUUGGUUGACAGGAGAAAAAAC